rnacentral:rRNA from 1 species
AUUGAACGCUGGCGGCAGGCCUAACACAUGCAAGUCGAACGGUAACAGGAAGAAGCUUGCUUCUUUGCUGACGAGUGGCGGACGGGUGAAUAAUGUCUGGGAAACUGCCUGAUGGAGGGGGAUAACUACUGGAAACGGUAGCUAAUACCGCAUAACGUCGCAAGACCAAGGAGGGGGACCUUCGGGCCUCUUGCCAUCGGAUGUGCCCAGAUGGGAUUAGCUAGUAGGUGGGGUAACGGCUCACCUAGGCGACGAUCCCUAGCUGGUCUGAGAGGAUGACCAGCCACACUGGAACUGAGACACGGUCCAGACUCCUACGGGAGGCAGCAGUGGGGAAUAUUGCACAAUGGGCGCAAGCCUGAUGCAGCCAUGCCGCGUGUAUGAAGAAGGCCUUCGGGUUGUAAAGUACUUUCAGCGGGGAGGAAGGGAGUAAAGUUAAUACCUUUGCUCAUUGACGUUACCCGCAGAAGAAGCACCGGCUAACUCCGUG